rnacentral:rRNA from 1 species
UAGGGAAUCUUCGGCAAUGGGGGGAACCCUGACCGAGCAACGCCGCGUGAGUGAAGAAGGUUUUCGGAUCGUAAAGCUCUGUUGUUAAGGAAGAACGAGUGUGAGAAUGGAAAGUUCAUACUGUGACGGUACUUAACCAGAAAGGGACGGCUAACUACGUGCCAGCAGCCGCGGUAAUACGUAGGUCCCGAGCGUUGUCCGGAUUUAUUGGGCGUAAAGCGAGCGCAGGCGGUUAGAUAAGUCUGAAGUUAAAGGUAGUGGCUCAACCAUUGUAGGCUUUGGAAACUGUUUAACUUGAGUGCAGAAGGGGAGAGUGGAAUUCCAUGUGUAACGGUGAAAUGCGUAGAUAUAUGGAGGAACACCAGUGGCGAAGGCGACUCUCUGGUCUGUAACUGACGCUGAGGCUCGAAAGCGUGGGUAGCAAACAGG